CCCACCCUUAUCUCCCUUUGCUGACUCUCUUUUCGGACUCAGUCCACCUGCACCCAGGUGAAAUAAACAGCCAUGUUGCUCACACAAAGCCUGUUUGGUGGUCUCUUCACACAGACGUGCAUGAAAUUUGGUGCCGUGACUCGGAUCAGGAGACCUCCCUUGGGAGAUCAAUCCCCUGUACUCCUGUUCUUUGCUCCAUGAGAAAGAUCCACCUAUGACCGCAGGUCCUCAGACCGACCAGCCCAAGGAACAUCUCACCAAUUUUAAAUCAGGACACCACUGAAAGUCGGACUGUUCAACUCACCUGGCAGCCACUCCCAGAGCCCCUGGAACUCUGGCCCAAGGCUCUCUGACUGACUCCUUCCCAGAUCUUCUCAGCUUAGCAGCUGAAGACUGACGCUGCCUGAUCGCCUCGGAAGCCCCGUAGACCAUCACGGACGCCGAGCUUCCGGUAACUCUCACAGUGGGAGACUCAGCCCGCCUGCA